CAAUAGUGUAUAUUUAAGUUGUUGCAGUUAAAAAGCUCGUAGUUGGAUUUCGGGUGGGACGCAGCGGUCUCGCAUUGCGUUUGUACUGCUGCAGCCCUCCUUCUUGCCGGGGGCGGCCUCUCGGACUUCACUGUCUGGGGGUCAGAAUCGGCGAUGUUACUUUGAGUAAAUUAGAGUGUUCAAAGCAAGCUUACGCUCUGAAUAUAAUAGCAUGGGAUAACACGACAGGACUCUGGCCUAUCGUGUUGGUCUAUAGGACCAGAGUAAUGAUUAAGAGGGACAGUCGGGGGCAUUCGUAUUCCGUUGUCAGAGGUGAAAUUCUUGGAUUUACGGAAGACGAACAUCUGCGAAAGCAUUUGCCAAGGAUGUUUUCAUUGA
rnacentral:rRNA from 1 species